UUUAAUUUGUAGAAGACAUGGUACGAUCAAAGGAUGUUAGCAUGAGUAAGUGUGCCUAUGUAUUUGUUACUUUUACUAUUUAUCUAUUGAGCAUACAAAGGAUACAUACGCUGAAACACAAAAAUUAAGCCUAAAAUAUCACAAAUUAUCUUAAUUUACUGGACAUUUUAACCAAGUGUGUACGUACGCUGUAACUAUAUCAAGUAGCUUCAUUUUGUAAAUAGAUAUGAUUAGGGUACAAUAGGGGUGUCAACAUAAUUAAGAUGUCUUUUAGAAAAAGGAGACAUGCUUCUUUAUUAAUAAUAAUACUCAAGUACAAGAGCUAUACAUUGAGAAUAAUAGAGAAGCCUAGAAAUGGGAGAGAGAGAGAUAGAGAGGAUCAGUAGGUGCAUCUAUUGAUCCUUGGAUCUUUUAUUUUUAAGUGGAGACAAUCAUCUUUAUUAAUAAUAAUAAAUGAGACUAAUGCUCAAAGUACAAGAUAUUGAUCCUUAGAUCUUCAGACUACUAUGCUUAUUAUUAUGUCCCAUUGCAUUUUUUAACUUUGUAUCUUGAGCCUAUACUCUUUUCAUUAUAUCAAUAAAAUAUUUGUUUUUGUUUCGAAAAGAAAACAUCUAAUCACUUGGUUCCACCAUGAAAAAAAUCAGGUUAUGAGAAAGAAUGAUCAUGAAGUUUUGUCACACAAGAUGGUAUUUGCAAAAAAAGGAAGCCCACAUUGAACUAAUUUGAUCAUUCACGAAAGAAUCCAAACCUACUUUCAACUGGCAGUGUGAUGAAUGGCCUUCCCCAUUUAAGAAAACCGAAGAACCCAUUUGAUCAUUCUAUCCCCUCUUUAAACGCACCUUUUCCAACUCCUUCAGAGUGUUCACACUGACUUCUGGGAUAUCCUGGCAACCAUCUUCUUGGAUGCCGGUUAAGCUACCUUUAACGAAAAUCUGUCUCUUAACACUUGAAAAGGAUUUUGUGAGAAAGAGGGAUUCGAUUGGGUUUAAUUUAAAACAUCAACGCUCUUCUAAUCAAACAAAAACCAACUUCUUCAGAACCAUCACUUGUUGCAAUCUCUGCAAAUCAAUCGGGUAGGAGAAGUCUUUGAAGGCUAGACUACCUUUUGUGAUUUUUGGAGGCUCCAAAAAAUUCAACAUCUCCAUAAUUUAAAAAGAUAUUUCCUCUAGAAAAACCAAUAAGUUCAACCUUAGAAGUCAUGAACCCACAUAGAUUCUUCUUUAACUUUUAAUCUUGCCACAGAGCAAUUAACCCCAUUGAGAGUUUCUAAUGCAAUCUGCUCUAACCACCAAAGUGAGCCCCUAUAGCCUCAAAAAAAUUCCUACUCCAAUAAUCGAGAGGUAGGUUCCUAAUCUUUCUCCAGUUGCCAAAACCCUUCAAAAUGCCAUGCCUGCUAUGUUUAAAUUUAUUCCAUUUUUCAAACAAAAAGAUGGAACAGCUCAACUUCUUGCCAUUUGCCUUUUUAUCAAUGAAAUCCUUAAUUGAGCUUUGAUCCAAACUUAUCAUUGCGCACUUUGCAAACAAUGGGUUAAUGAUAAUUUUGGUAUUGAAAUAGACUUCCAACACCUGUCUAAUCUCUUUCCAGUCGUUAAAAGCAAACAAUCUCAAAACAAUCCACAAUUUGUAAAAUUCUUGCUGAAAACCUUCCUUAUUCUUUUGUACCCAAAAACGUUUGUAAUUGUGCUCUAUUUUUCAGCCCUCAAAACAGAGAAGAAUAUUGAACUCUCUGCAAAACUCUUGCUCUGUUUCCCAGACCCCGAAACAGAGGAGAAACAGAGGAAAGUGAAGGUUUCUUAUUCUUCACCAUUUCUACACAACUACUUUUUUGGGCGCGCACAGGAUCUUCUUCACAGACUUCUUGAUGCUGACUAGCUAACUUGGAACUUGAAGCUAGAUUUCUAUGCCAUUCCAUGUACUCUCGUUUCAACUGAAAACUUCUAAUCAUUCUCAGAAAAGCCAGCCACCCCUAUGCCAAUGACCCAAAGGCACAUGAAUGAAAUACCUCCCCCCUUUCUCGGCCUAACUGUACAUCUCAUAAUCCAGCCUGCCUCAACUUUGGACUUAGACAGGCUUGUUCUUCCACAAUCAUCACUUCCAUUCUGAAGGAAGAGCUCAUUUACAGAUCUUCGAGUAAGCUCCAUGAUGGCCUCAAUGAACCAAAACAAUUGUGACUUUGAUGCCUUCAAAAUCCUCUGUGCUUCAACAUCCUUCACUUGGAAGAAAGCACUCUCAAACCAAAUACAAAAAAGGGAAUGAAGGAUUCUACAACUUUCCACUUUCAUUUGGACUGCUUGACGGAAGAGAGAGAAUCAGAGAAGGGGUCAAAGACAACGGUGAUCGGAGAACAGAUUGCAGGAGAUUGAGUUGAAAAGAAAGAAGAGAGGAGAGAGGAGAGAGGAGAGAGAGGAGAGAACUUACCUUUGAUGUUUUUCUUGUGCUUUCAUCUUAGACCUCUCUUUACAAAAAGAAUGCACCAAUACAUCAAUAGAAGAACACUACAUCAAGGAGAGAAGAUGGAUUCUUUUUGGUUUCAAAACCAAGAGAACAAAAAUGGUUUGAACGGCUAUGACUAGGGUGAGCAAUCAGCCAAGCAUAAAGUUCCAACAUUAGAAAUUUUGGCCAGCAAAGGCAUCUUGCCAGAAGGGUGUUGUGAAAUUAAGAUGUGCUUGUAAGAUGUAUAUGCAAGAUAUCAAGCUUAGGAGAUUCUCAUACACCCUACCCUACCCUAGCCUCUUUUCUUAUAUGCACAGAGCUAUUGCAUUUUACGACUAAGAUGUUGCUUGUAUGCAGGGUUAUCAAGCUUAGGAGACUCUUGGGACGUUUCAAGUGCAAAACUGGCUUAAAUGGAGCAUUUAGAGGUCAACAGGGCAAUUGGGCUCAAAGGACAGCAAAAUUUUCUUAUUUAGUUGACAAUUGUGGGCUACAAUUGAGAAAAGUAUUUCACCCAAAUCUCCAUCAAUUUCAGUUUGAUCAUGCAAAGCUAUUGCAUUUUCAUUCAACUAAGAGACAGCACCUAUU
rnacentral:lncRNA from 1 species